UACAUGGGGUGCAACCGUUGCUCGGAAUUACUGGGCGUAAAGGGCGCGUAGGCGGCCGUUUGCGUCGGAUGUGAAAGCCCGGGGCUCAACCUCGGAACGGCAUUCGAUACGGGACGGCUGGAGACCGGGAGAGGAGAGUGGAAUAGCCAGUGUAGAGGUGAAAUUCGUAGAUAUUGGCUGGAACACCGGUGGCGAAAGCGGCUCUCUGGCCCGGUUCUGACGCUGAGGCGCGAAAGCGUGGGGAGCAAACAGG
rnacentral:rRNA from 1 species